rnacentral:rRNA from 1 species
UACAGAGGGUGCAAGCGUUAAUCGGAAUUACUGGGCGUAAAGCGUGCGCAGGCGGUUAUAUAAGACAGAUGUGAAAUCCCCGGGCUCAACCUGGGAACUGCAUUUGUGACUGUAUAGCUAGAGUACGGUAGAGGGGGAUGGAAUUCCGCGUGUAGCAGUGAAAUGCGUAGAUAUGCGGAGGAACACCGAUGGCGAAGGCAAUCCCCGGGACCUGUACUGACGCUCAUGCACGAAAGCGUGGGGAGCAAACAGG